rnacentral:rRNA from 1 species
CACCAGACUCCUACGGGAGGCAGCAGUGGGGAAUAUUGCACAAUGGGGGGAACCCUGAUGCAGCAAUGCCGCGUGGGUGAAGAAGCACUCCGGUGCGUAAAGCCCUGUCAGCAGGGAAGAAAAUGACAGUACCUGACCAAGAAGCCCCGGCUAACUACGUGCCAGCAGCCGCGGUAAUACGUAGGGAGCAAGCGUUAUCCGGAUUUAUUGGGUGUAAAGGGUGCGUAGACGGGAAAUUAAGUUAGUUGUGAAAUCCCUCGGCGCAACUGAGGAACUGCAACUAAAACUGAUUUUCUUGAGUGCAGGAGAGGUAAGUGGAAUUCCUAGUGUAGCGGUGAAAUGCGUAGAUAUUAGGAGGAACACCAGUGGCGAAGGCGACUUACUGGACUGUAACUGACGUUGAGGCACGAAAGUGUGGGGAGCAAACAGGAUUAGAUACCCCGGUAAU